GAAUAACAGCUGCUGCGGUACGGAUUUGAGUUUUUUUCGGAUUAAAUGAUAACGAAAUUAUUUUUUACUCAUUUAAACGUUUAAUAAUUAUAAAAAAAAUAAUAAAAAUAACGAUAUGGAAGCAGGACGUGGCUGAGGAGGAUUGAUGGAGACGACAAGAAAGCAAGUUGGAGGGCAAAGUAACGUUAGCUGAAGUGGAGACAAGAGGAUACAUACAUAUAUACAUCUAUUAGAUGCUUUACGCUACCUGACUCUCCUCCUGAAACUAUGGCGUGCCGGAGCCCUGUGUUGAAGCAAAAAGUUAACAAGAAUGGGGAGUUUCUGUCUUUCAAGCAAGCUCGCUCUCUGUGUGUGUGUGUGUGUGUGUGUGUGUGUGUGUGUGUGUAAUAUGCUUUUCAGGUGGUGGUGUAGCAGCACAGAAUGGUUUGUGGUGUGAUACAGAGAUGCAGGCCGUACUGU